rnacentral:rRNA from 1 species
AUUGAACGCUGGCGGAAUGCUUUACACAUGCAAGUCGAACGGCAGCACGGGGCAACCUGGUGGCGAGUGGCGAACGGGUGAGUAAUACAUCGGAACAUGCCCAGUCGUGGGGGAUAACGUAGCGAAAGCUACGCUAAUACCGCAUACGAUCUACGGAUGAAAGCGGGGGAUCGCAAGACCUCGCGCGAUUGGAGCGGCCGAUGGCAGAUUAGGUAGUUGGUGGGGUAAAGGCUCACCAAGCCGACGAUCUGUAGCUGGUCUGAGAGGACGACCAGCCACACUGGGACUGAGACACGGCCCAGACUCCUACGGGAGGCAGCAGUGGGGAAUUUUGGACAAUGGGCGCAAGCCUGAUCCAGCCAUUCCGCGUGCAGGAUGAAGGCCCUCGGGUUGUAAACUGCUUUUGUACGGAACGAAAAGGCUCUGGUUAAUACCUGGGGCUCAUGACGGUACCGUAAGAAUAAGCACCGGCUAACUACGUGCCAGCCGCCGCCGUAA